CUACCUCGAAAAAUCUUCAGUCUAUCCCUACCUUUGGCCCUGCCAUACAUACGAUCGAUGUAUACUGCUCAUCGGAUCGGUAUGACGUGUCUCCCAGCUCACUGAUCAUCUGUGAUAUGGAUGCAUCAUUUAUGGGGAGGUCAAAGUUCGAGAAUCCAGGAUAUAAGGUGUGUUGGACAUAUGAUGAGGUGCUCGGAUCAUCCAUCGAUGGCGCAGUGUGAAGUCAUCUAUUCUCAAAGACGACUCAUAUAGCAUCAACAAGACCAUCUAUAAUAUCGGUAAAUGCUCAAUCCUUGCACCCAACAGUGAUCAAAUGGAAGUCGCUCCGAGCCC
rnacentral:lncRNA from 1 species